rnacentral:tRNA from 1 species
GCAGUCGUGGCCGAGUGGUUAAGGCGAUGGACCAGAAAUCCAUUGGGGUCUCCCCGCACAGGUUCGAAUCCUGUCGACUGCG